AGGAUAGGAAGAAUGAAGUGCU
rnacentral:miRNA from 1 species